UGCAUUAAACACAUGAUAACUAAAUAAUGAGUUAGAUUAGGAACGAUGAGCUCCCCACCCUUUUGAGCCCUUCUAACGCCCCAUCAAAUCCAAAACUGCGUUCAUCGUUCGAGAAGCUCUUUAUGCCCCCCAGCGGGCAAUUAAUUUUUUUUUCCUUUUGGCUCAACACUUUCUCAUCUGACGUUUGAAGGGAUGAUUGAUUUGAAGAAGUUAAAAUCCAACCAAAUAAAAACAAAUCAUCUGACGUUGUUUGCUCAAUUUAGCUUGAAAAAAAAAAUUACGUAACGCACACAAAUUUUUCAAUCGAGUAAGAGAAAAUUUAAGUACGUCUGGCAUCCCAGUUGAGUAGAAAAAAGAGAAACGUCAAAAGGACGGGGAUUUAUUUCGUCAUUGUGUUGUUUUGAUCCGUUUAUUUGUGACGGUGACACUCAAGCACAGAAAAUCCGGUGAACGUCGUCGAGGAGGCCAAGCCCAAUCAGGCAAAGUGAGCAGUGAGGAUAGAUCGAACAUUACAGCACCGGAUCCGCAACAAAGUUUUCAAUGCUACCCACCCGUAGCAGCGGAUGUGAAUCAUCUCCACCAGCAGAUUCGGCGUUGAAACUUCUAACGCAUACAACAUUUGCCAACGAAAUGAAAAUUGUCGGUAUCUCCGGCCGACUCGUCCCGACGAUGUUUUCAACUAUUAAACGCCAUCCGUUGUUCGAUGGCAUAAACUGGUUCCGUAAGAUGGUCACCUAGCGGCUACUGUUAACCUUGGCCACCUGGGACGGAAGACAUCGGGGCGUAAAUUCGGAUGGCCAUCGAUGGUUCAUUUUCUAGGAGGGAUCGGCUGUCAUACCACUACAUAAUCUCUUCGAAUCGGAAUCGAACCAUUACCCGGUAGCAACAAAUCUGGAUCCGUUCUAAAUUGAGUUCAACAGAAUAGUUACUGGUCGCAGCUUUUUGACCGGUCUUGUUUAGCGCUGUGUGAUGGCUUUUCCUUCAUACUGGUGUUCUGGGUGCCGACGUACUUCAGCCAAAAUUUUUCUCGGAACAAGGAUUGUAUUGGCAACAUAAUUUGUUGGUUGUCUUCAUGGCCAGUUGUUCAGGAGCUUGAUAAAAGAGCCCUCUCAAAACGUGGCUCACUUCAUCAACUGUCAUACCUCGGAAAUCAAAAUGGCACUGGACAACAUUUCAAUUAGCAUUGGUUUAAAAAUUAAUGGUGGUUUGUAAAAUGUCGUUUCUAUACUAUUUAACGUUUUCGGAUCGUUCUUUGAGGGGAAAGUAAUUUUAUUUAAAAUAACUACUCCGAGGAGUAAGGUGAGGGUCUCGUCGAACAACUUAUAGUAUAAGGGUGGUGCUCUCAGGCAACAACGAUCGGACAAAGGUGCAUAAAAGAAAAAAACCCUAAGUCAAGCUAGAAGAACAUUUUUUGGGGACAAAUCCUUCGAAGAUCCAAAAUAGAAUACAUUGACCGUUACAUGACAGCCACAGGAAAUUUUAUCAUUAAUGGCGACGUUGCUAUAUUUUACGAAUGUAUCUUUGAUAUGAAUAAAAAAACUGCAUUUUAAAAAUAAACUUUAUUGUUCAUUUUGUUAUUCACGUUUCUAAACAGCAAUUCAAACACUCUGCGAUCUCGAUUCGUAUUAUAAUUUUUCGGCUUGAUUUGCUUGCCGCAUCCAUGAAGCGGCCGGCUUAUGUUACUGUGGCAUGUUCCGAUCUGUGCAGGAAAAAAUGUCCCAUAUUCGGUGCUGUUUACCAAAAUGUAUUUCUUGGCAACAUAUUCGGCUCCGGAUAUUGAACCAAAUGGAGAAAUCGUUGUAGCCAGCAGCUCAAAACCGAAACGUCAAAGUCAUCUGGUGCGGUUUGUUAGCAUUAAGAUAAAUUAGAUGGGAACCUGGAAGAAUAUUAAAUGUAAGUUUUAUAUUGGGUGAUCUGAUUAGCGCUAGGGGGCUUCAACAAUUACUUUUUUUCCGUCAACUCUCUACAACUAUCGCCACAUCCAACUGGAAACCCGCGGUCAGAUCCACACUCUGCUUAACCUCUCAAAGCUGCAAAUAUAAUCCGAUUCUUUUGGAAGAGCAUUUUGCUGCAGGACGAGGCAACACCUAACACGUACCAAACGAGUAAAUUGUUGUGACCAGUUGCUUAACAGAACGUCCGUUACAUCCGGUGUAGUUAAACUUAAAAUAAGAAAAUAUGUUGAUGAAAAAUUUAAAAUUUAAUGCUAAAUCGUAGAAAAUUCUUAGAAAAACCUUCGGAAACUUACCAA